rnacentral:rRNA from 1 species
UGGUGGAGUGAUUUGUCUGGUUAAUUCCGUUAACGAACGAGACCUUGACCUAUUAAAUAGUGGUGCAAACUCGGUUCUUCCGAGCCGACCUUUCGGGGAAGGUGAGUGGAACCGUCAACGUUGGCAAUAUACUUCUUAGAGGGACUCUUCGCAUCUCUAGCGAAUGGAAGUUUGAGGCAAAAACA